rnacentral:lncRNA from 1 species
CUCUCAGGCUGCUUUUACUUGCUUAUACAACUAGCAAAAUGGAACAUACAUUAAUGGCACAAUAUUCUUUCAGUGUUUAAAAAAUUAUUAAUACUAUUUCUUAAUGCAUCUUACUCUGAAUUAUAGAAGGUACAGAAGCUUGGAAAUGCUGUCACUAGCAAGUAUAUGACUAGCCUGUAUAAACCCUUCAAAAAAGUACAGACUAAAAAGAUUUGGGUUUUAAAUUGGCCUUCAACUAGUAUACUGACAGACAAAUUAGAAUUCUCUACCUAGCAAGUACUUAUUGGCAAAAAAUGUAGAACCCACAUAUGUAGCCUCAAUCUUUUGAGGACAAGAAAAAAGAAUAAUUUUACAAACUACUUUUUUUUUUCUUUCUGGUGCUGGCAAUUGAACACCCAACACCCCAGGCAUGCUAAGAAUGAUCUAUACCACUGGGCUAUACUCCAAGCCCAAAACCUAUAUUAAAGCAUCACCUUUACAACUCAAAAUCUCAACUAUUAAGUUAAAAAUAGAUGAAAUUCUCUGAAUACUCAAGUGUAUUUUAGCUCUCUCUAUUGGAUAUAUUUUAAAAAUUGUUAAAGUCAUGAUAAAAAGCAGUAAUAUUUAUUUUAUUUUUAUCAAGUACAAAUUUUAAACAGUU